UGGAGGUGGAGCAGGGUGAGAGAGAAGUCAUGUGAUUUGAAUAAUGAAGCAUUUGAUAAAAUGAAUUUGUUUGCAUGCGAUUAGGGAGAAAGUGAUAAAGAGUUUACAGAGGGAGUGAGCAGGAUUUGCACGAGAAAGUGCAGGAAGGGUCCCACCAUCACACCCUUUCCUCCUUUACCUUUUGGUUUGUCGUGGGUACCCUCCAGC
rnacentral:lncRNA from 1 species